rnacentral:lncRNA from 1 species
AGACGUGUGCACACAUAUGCGUGCACACACACAGAGACGGGCACAGGUGUCCCUAACCUGUCAGUUCUUCCUGGAUGGUGGGCUGCGUCCAAGCAAGCUGAGAAUUUUCCACGUUGACUGGAACACUCGGCUAAAAUGCCUUGGCUUCUCAGGUCAUGGGUAAGGGUCAUUGACAACUCUAUUUGCCCACUUUAUUCAAACCAGAGGACAAGGAAAACUACUGGAUGAACACGGUUGUCUUGGGAAGAGACCUGCAGGAAGCUGCCCCAGCAGAGCAGGCCACGGGUUUCAGUAACGCCAGAGGCUGAGAGAGGAAUUGGUCGACGGAGGCAGAAAUCGUCACAUACGAGGAAAGCUUGACUGCAAAACAUCAAUUCAUCCAGCAACCACUCACCAUCCACUGGUAAGGCCAUGUCCUUCCAUUCUGGCCAGAGUUCCGCAUCUGUGCCUCAGUGCUGGGGCUGAUCUGACAGCCUGUGUCGCACACACACAGGUUGGGGGAGAGAUAGUUGAGACCAAAACGUUUGUGAGAUCAAAGCCAUUGAGAUGCUGUCACACGUUCCCAGGGGCACGGACAGGGAACUCACAGUCACUCCCGGAGGGAAGCGAGUACCAGCUUGAAGCAGCGUGGUGUGGGGAGGUCCUCCUGCCUGGGUGCUGCUGAGGCAGAGAAGGAGGAGGCUGUUCUCACUGAAGGCGCCUGCACAUCUCCUCAGCAGAGACGGGGUACAGACGGGCUUUGGAGAAGGGUGGUCCCUCCGCAGGAUGCGUGGGAGAGGGAGGAUGCCCGGUAACAAACAGAGCUCCUGGCAAGGGUGGGCUGCGGCCCAGCCCAGAAGAGCUCCUCCUCCCUCCAGGAACCUGGAUCUUGUCGCCCCGGGAGAACAUGUUCCCUGCCUUCAUCCCACGGAGCAGGCUUCGUGCAGAAGCUCAUCCUGUUCACAGCUCUAACUACCAAAGGCUGGGAAUCUACAAGCUGAAUCUUCAACCCAAACUCACCUCCUGAAUGCCCAUCACUGUUGCCUUCUGUCACCGGCCUUCGGACACCCCAGGAGCACCUCAGACGCACCCGAGCACAAACUCCAUGUCUCUCCUGUGAAGUUUCUCAGAGCCCCUGCCGUGGCCAAUGCUCCUGGCCACUCCACUGUGAAAUCCACAGCAUCUGUCACUCUUCUGCUCCCUCCUGCUCUUGUCUCCAAACCCAACUAACCCAGCCACCUGCAAAUCUCUCCCGCCCUCCCGGCCACCCCAAGCAGCCACUGGGGACCAUCCUCAACCUCCCCAUCCAGUCUUUUCCCUGGGCCCGAAGCAUGUUCCUAAAAUGCAGACACGUCACAUCACUCCAGUUCAAAACCUUUCAGUAGCAUUUGUUAAUGGCCACUCAUUUAUUCCACAAAAAAUUACUUAAUCUUGGGCUGGGCAUGGUGGCU